GUGAUGGCUGGUGAAGAGGAGCUGGUGCUGACCCGGAGCCCCGCUGCCCGCCCUGCUCUGCGGGCUGUGCCCGGGGAGGAGGGGAGGUAUUUCGGGGGCAGCUUUGCAGCACCCGCUCUUUUGUAACAGCACCGCGUGCCUGGCCGGGGCUGUGGGAAUCACCGGACUCUCACAGGGGCUGCCUGUAGCGACAGGAACCAAAGGGCUAAUUAAGACAACAAGGAGAGA